UAUAGUCAUUGAUACCAAUGUAAAGGGUGUAUGUUACGCCACUUGGUCCCUCUUAUGAUUGAAAGCAAGCAAGGAAUUAUUGUCAAUGUCAUUUGGGUGGGGAAGAUCUGCUGCUACACAGGUUGCACCUUAUUGUGCUCCAAAAUGGGCGGUAGAGUGCCUGACUAGGUCAGCAACAAAGGAGUUACAUAGUGGAAUGGCAAUUGUUGCACUCAAUCCAGAUGUGAUAAACAUGGACAUGCUUGUGUCAUUCUUUGGCAGUUCAGCUGAUUUAUACCAGACACUGGAAUCAUGAUUCCUAGACUUUUGUGUGGCUCGCCUCAACUUGGAAGAUUAGAGUUUCUAGAGGAUCAAAUGUGAGCAUCUGGUAGUUGAGGUUUUGCCUAGGGUCACUCUAGGAU